UACGUAGGGGGCAAGCGUUGUCCGGAUUUAUUGGGCGUAAAGAGCGUGUAGGCGGUCAGGUAGGUCCGUUGUGAAAACUCGAGGCUCAACCUCGAGACGCCGAUGGAAACCAUCUGACUAGAGUCCGGAAGAGGAGAGUGGAAUUCCUGGUGUAGCGGUGAAAUGUGUAGAGAUCGGGAGGAACACCGGUGGCGAAGGCGGGUCUCUGGGCAACUCCUGACGCUGAGGCGCGAAAGCGUGGGGAGCAAACAGG
rnacentral:rRNA from 1 species